UGUUUUCUCCACAAGAAUGAAACAACACACUGUAUACAUUAGUAUCAAUAAGGUUGCCACAGUUCUGGGCUCGACCACCAUCUAUUACAGUUAUCAAAGACUAGAGAAAGGAUUUCAAUCAUUCUCUUUUUUGUCACACGUUGCAUGUCAGUCCAAUAUUUACUGUUAUAUCUACUGUU